rnacentral:rRNA from 1 species
GAUGAACGCUGGCGGCGUGCCUAAUACAUGCAAGUCGAGCGAACGGACGAGAAGCUUGCUUCUCUGAUGUUAGCGGCGGACGGGUGAGUAACACGUGGAUGACCUACCUAUAAGACUGGGAUAACUUCGGGAAACCGGAGCUAAUACCGGAUAAUAUUUUGAACCGCAUGGUUCAAAAGUGAAAGACGGUCUUGCUGUCACUUAUAGAUGGAUCAGCGCUGCAUUAGCUAGUUGGUAAGGUAACGGCUUACCAAGGCAACGAUGCAUAGCCGACCUGAGAGGGUGAUCGGCCACACUGGAACUGAGACACGGUCCAGACUCCUACGGGAGGCAGCAGUAGGGAAUCUUCCGCAAUGGGCGAAAGCCUGACGGAGCAACGCCGCGUGAGUGAUGAAGGUCUUCGGAUCGUAAAACUCUGUUAUUAGGGAAGAACAUAUGUGUAAGUAACUGUGCACAUCUUGACGGUACCUAAUCAGAAAGCCACGGCUAACUACGUG